rnacentral:misc_RNA from 1 species
GGAAGGGGCUUGCUCCCGAUGGCAGUGUGUCAGUCACCAAGGUUUCACUGAACCACCCCCAUCGGGAGCAAGCCCCCUCC